AGAGUCUGAUCUGGUCACCGGAUGACAUAGUUGGAGCUAUCCUGGAGAGAUGAACUCAACUAGAAAUUCCAUUAAGUUUUACAGAAGUGGGAGUGCUUAAAAUACCUUGUAUGGUGUUCGCCAAGCCGCGUCGGCCAGCGUGGGGCUUUUGCUUAAUUCACAGUCCAGAGAGGUGGCUGCUACAUUAAUAACCUUCAAUAUUUCAACAAAAACUUACUGUUAUUAUUUGGAGUUUCCCCCCCAAGUCAGACCUGUUCAAAAGGAACCGUUUCACAUUGCUGACAAUUAUAAAUGUUAAGUCGCACAGACGCAGCCGCGUCCGUACGGUUUUGGAUUUCUGUAUAAAGUCCAGGGUAAAUUCUGCCAGAAAGCAAUGUGGAAAGCCUUCAAGAGCGUCGAAGAAGUGGUUAAGAGGACAAAGGAUCUCGGACACUGGGCACAUCUUUUCGAUUCCACUGUUCUUCCUGCACUAGUGAGUAGGCCUCAGAGACCUGGGCCCUACGCAAACAGGAUGAGAACGCUAUUUGAGUAUCCCAAAGAGAAAUCAAAAGAGCUAUGCUAGGAGUAUCAUGUCUCACUCAAGUGAGAGAAGGCAUCCGGAGUUCCAACCUCCGUUGAUGGUCAAAAAUCAGGGAUGAGGUCUUGUUUGCCAAGACAUCAAAAAUCAGAUGGGCUGGACAUGUAAUGCCAUUCAGAGACGACCGCUGGACUAGAGUUGUUACCGACUGUAUUCCACAGGAUGUCAAAAGACUCUGUGGCCUCCCACCACCGAGAUGGUCAGACUUCUUCAUCAAAACCCUGAGUGAAUGGUUUGAGGCACUUCCUGUCCCUGGAGUGAGCAGAUAUCAUUAGGCCACACUAGCACGAGACAGGGACAAAUGGAGAUGUUACUGGUGCCCACUGGAGCAAAUCGAAGAUCAACAGGAAGACAAGUGACAAGUGACAAGAUUGUUAUCUAUCCAUAUAAGAUGUAAUUUGUGGAUAAGUUGUUUUUUUUUCUUUUUCUGCUUUUUGGGUCACACCUAGAAAUGCACAGGGGUUACUCCUGGAUGUACACUCAGGAAAUACUCCAGGCUGUGCUCACGGGACCAUAUGGGAUGCUGUGAAUCGAACCCGGGUUGACCGUGUGCAAGGCAAACAUCCUACUCAUUGUGCUAUUGCUCCAGCCCUUGUGGAUAGUUUUAAUAACAAAUUAUGAAAAUUUAAAUGCUAACCAUAAUCCUGAACUUUAUAUGACACCAUAUCUUGUAUCAUGUAUGAGUUUGCUAGAACUGUCGUGGUAAGUUUCAUAUUCUAGUUGAAACAAAAGAAAGUCAUUCUUUAUGAUUCUAGAGUCCAGAAGUCUGCAGUCAAAGUGCUAGCAAUAGCAAGCUCUGAUAACUCUGGGAAAGAAUCCUUCCUUAUUUCUCCUAGACUUUUGGUAUUGACCUCUAGUCCAUGGUAUCCUUUUCAUUGUAAAUGCAUCACUCCAAAUUUUUACCACAGUCUUCCUUUUGGGUCUGUAUUUUCACAUGCUUUCAUACAAGGGCACUAGCCAUUGGAUUUAAGGUCUAUCCUAACUAGUUAUGACCUUAUCUCUAUUACAUAUUAAAAACUGCUUUAAAAUGAGGCAAAAUUUGCAGGUUCUAGGUGUACAUCAAUAUUAGGUGUCUGCUACUAAGCCCACUAUUGGUAUUCAUUGUAGUAUAAAAAAAUAUAUGAUUAUGCUGGAGCAAGAACACAGCCAGUAGAGCAUUUGCCUUACAUGCUCAGGUUCGAUUCCUCCACCCUCUCGUAGAGCCUGGCAAACUACCGAGAGUAUCUUGCCCACAUGGCAGAGAUGGGCAAGCUCCCCAUGACGUAUUCGAUAUGCCAGAAAUGGUAAUAACAAGUCUCACAAUGGACACAUUACUGGUGCCCGCUCGAGCAUAUUGAUGAGCAACGGGAUCACAGUGAUACAAUGAUGAAUUAAAGAAGACCGAAGUGACAGUGACAGAUAAAGUGACUCAAUAUAAAGCUAAUACUGUGGAGCGAUAGUGCAUCGGGUAGGGGAUUUGUCUUGCAUGAGGCCAACCCAGGUUCGAUUCCCAGCAUUCCAUAUGGUCCCCUGAGCACCACCAGGAGUAAUUCCUGAGAAUAUGAGACAGGAGUAAUCCCUGUGUAACGCUAAGUGUGACCCAAAGAGAAAAAAAAGCUAAUACUGUGUCUCUUUUCAGUACUAGCAUAUAAAGUCUUUUUAGAUUCAUUUUCAUUAAGACAUAAUUGGGAAAGUAAGGAGAAUUGAAUGCAAGCUUAUUAAAAUAGUUGAUAGCUAUUUUUAGGUAAAAUAAUUACUCUGUGUUUUGUCACUUAGUAAUUAAUUGUAAGCUGUUUGUCAUAGAGAAUACUGUCUUUAAUGAAAUAUGAACAAAUAUUGCUGAAUAUAACAGGGAAAAUAAAUUUUGGAAAUUUGCUUUCUAGUUUCAGGAUAUAAACUUAAUUAACAAUUUAAUUAUGAUCUUUAACAGCAUCUAUUUAGAUCCAAAAGUUAUAUAAAUAAUGGAAAAAUGGAAUAAAUUUCUGUUGACUCGUG